rnacentral:rRNA from 1 species
UACGUAGGGUGCGAGCGUUUGUCCGGAAUUAUUGGGCGUAAAGAGCUUGUAGGCGGUUUGUCGCGUCUGCUGUGAAAAUCCGGGGCUCAACCCCGGACUUGCAGUGGGUACGGGCAGACUAGAGUGUGGUAGGGGGAGACUGGAAUUCCUGGUGUAGCGGUGAAAUGCGUUGAUAUCAGGAGGAACACCCAUGGCGAAGGCAGCUAACUGGGCAUUAUCUGACGCUGAGGCGCGAAAGCGUGGGUAGCAAACAGG